CACGUAGUUAGCCGGAGCUUAUUCCUCAGGUACCGUCAAAUUCCUCUUUCUUCCCUGAUAAAAGAACUUUACAUUACGAAUAACUUCUUCGUUCACGCGGCGUUGCUCGGUCAGGGUUCCCCCCAUUGCCGAAAAUUCCCUACUGCUGCCUCCCGUAGGAGUAUGGACCGUUCUCAGUUCCAUUGCGGCCGUUCAACCUCUCAGUCCGGCUACGCAUCAUCGCCUUGGUAGGCCCUUACCCCACCAACUAGCUAAUGCGCCACAGGCCCCUCCUUAAGCAGAUCUCUCUUUUAAAUAUAAAAGAUUCUUCCUCUAUAUCCUAUCCAGUUUUAUCCAUCGUUUCCAAUGGCUAUCCUCGUCUUAAGGGUAGGUUACCUAUGUAUUACUCACCCGUUCGCCACUAAAGUACCCGAAGGUACUUCCGUUCGACUUGCAUGUAUUAGGCACGCCGCCAGCGUUAAUCCUGAGCCAGGAUCAAACUCU
rnacentral:rRNA from 1 species